rnacentral:lncRNA from 1 species
GAUACCUAAUUAUCUUGAUGAGUUCGCUCAUAUUCACGUGAUCAGGUACAAGGAACUUGGUCUUGUCCAGGACGGGCAGCUGCUUCUCACCCUUGUAUCGCUCUAUAAUCACCUGCAGAGAGAGGCCAGACACUCAGCAGCACACAACACUCCCCACGCUGAGCCUGGCACAUGCCAUGCAGUCGUCUCACCCAGCCCUCCUGGCUGCCCACGGUGCUGCUGUGACCAGUGCUCGUUCACAGCUCUGCCACUGUCCCUGGCAAAACCGUGACAUGGCCACCAGGCACCUCUGUUGUCUGAACUGUGCUAGGAGUAAAGAUGCACGUCACACCCAGCUAUUGUUUCACUGUAGCCCAGGAUGUCCUUAAUCAGGGCCCUCCACCUGCACCAGCCUCCUGUGCUAGGAUCACAGACGUGAGCCUCACAGCCAGCAAUAUAUUCCACCCAAGUUUCUUAUGGACCACAUGGUGGUGAGCUGCCAUGUGGGUGCUGGAAAUCAAACCCAGGUCCUCUGUGAGGGCAACAAGUGCUCUAAGCCACUGAGCCAUCUCUCUGGCCCCCAAAAUAAGAAAUGUUAAAAGCAGCUUGGUAUGGUGGUGCAUGCCUUCAAUCCCACCACUUGGAAGGCAGAUCUGUGUCUGAGGAUAGUCUGUCUACAUAGCAAGUUCCAAGACAGCCAGAGCUACAUAGUGGGACCCUACACCAAAAAUAAAUCUUAACCAAAAUAAAUGUUAAGCCAGGCAUGGCUAUAAGAGCACAUUUACAAUCUCAGUAUCUGAAGGCUCAGGAGUGAACUGCCUUCAAGGCUAGCCUGGAUAAGACCAGCCUCAAAAAUCAAACCAAACCGAAACGUUGCUAAAAGAUCUGAGCAUUGAUGGGCUGGAGUCACAGUCCACCAUGGUGUCUAGACGCCAUGGACGUUUACCCGGACACCAGAGAUUCAAGCCCAGUCACAGCAUGCCAGAGGGGGACACCGCCACGUGCUACUUCUGGAGGGAAAGUGCUUGUCUCCAAGCACCGCAACUCCAAGCUCCAAGUGAAGCUUGAAGCACCCACAGGAGAUGCCAGCUAUAGGCACUACACACCUGGGUCGAGGCGGACU